CCUACGGGCGGCAGCAGUGGGGAAUAUUGCACAAUGGGGGAAACCCUGAUGCAGCGACGCCGCGUGUGUGAAGAAGUAUCUCGGUACGUAAAGCUCUAUCAGCAGGGAAGAAAAUGACGGUACCUGACUAAGAAGCCCCGGCUAACUACGUACCAGCAGCCGCGGUAAUACGUAGGGGGCAAGCGUUAGCCGGAAUUACUGGGUGUAAAGGGAGCGGAGACGGCAGCACAAGUCUGGAGUGAAAUCCCGGGGCUUAACCCCGGAACUGCUUUGGAAACUGUGCGGCUGGAGUGCAGGAGGGGUAAGCGGAAUUCCUAGUGUAGCAGUGAAAUGCGUAGAUAUUAGGAGGAACACCGGUGGCGAAGGCGGCUUACUGGACUGUAACUGACGUUGAGGCUCGAAAGCGUGGGGAGCAAACAGGAUUAGAUACCCUUGUAGUC
rnacentral:rRNA from 1 species